ensembl:lncRNA
AUAUUUUUACAUGAUGAGGAUCAUGUAAAACUAUACCAUAUAGUUUUACAUCAUCAUCCAACCAUAUAUAUCACGGUUAAAGCUAGUUCUGUUGUUGGGCGUUAACUGUGUGCAAAGAGGCAUAACUAGUUCAGAUUCAGAUUUCAGUUUUGCUCUUGCAAACUCAUAGUUGUCGACCUCAGGCUAUGACGCCCCUUUCUUAAAAAAACCACAGAGUGUGUUUGUGUUGGCGGUGCUUUACAUUAUUGGUUCUCUCACUCUACCAUUUUUUCACAGCUAGACUCACACACCCAUAUCCACCAUCAUGCCUUAUAGUCAAAUCGACUAGUUUUAUCCCUGGGACUCUUCCACAUGUGUUACCACCACAACCGAAUCUCUGAGGUGGAUUGAGGUGAACCUCGAUGGAUUUUCUGUUUCGGAAAACAUUGCAAAAAAGAGUCAGCGAGACGAACUACCACCAUAACCUCAACCACAGCAACAAUCAGCAGGGCUUCCACUGAGGGCCACGCUUCUCUGCUGCAGUGACCCACUCUUAGAGACACUCUUCCCCUGCUCUGCAAUGAAUCAACCCACCAAGGCGCAAACCAUGACAGUUACAGACGAGACCACCAGCUUGAAGACGGUGCUCCUGCUGUUCUUCUGCCUCCUCUUCCUCGUCUUGCUCCUCCUCUUCCUCUACAAGAAGCUCAACAAGCAGACGGACGGCGAGUACACCGUCAGCAACAUGGUGCUGGGGGAAGGGGGUCUGCGGGACCGCGGGAGGGAGCUCCUGGACAGCGGGAGGGAGCUCCUGCGGGACGCCUGCCUGACCCACCUGGGGGUCCGCCUCUGGGCCGACCGGGACGACGAGGAGGACUCCGAGUCGGGGGUGGGGCGGGAGGAGUGGGGAGAGGAGGGGGAGGAAGGGGAGGAAGGGGAGGAGCAGGAGGGGGACAGCCGGGGGAGCGCGAGCGACGAGGACGAGGACGAAGAGGAGGAGGAGGAGGAGGAGGAGGAGGAGGAGGAGGGGAGGAAAGGCGAAGACGUGCCGGACAGCCGCGCCAAUGUACCGAACGACAAAAACCCGGCCUGUGAAAACACCCAACUGAUCGUGGUGGUGGAGCAGACGAGGGGAGGGUGGGAUGGGAAGGAGAAGGAGGAGGUGGUGGAGGUGGUGGAGGAGGUGGAGGAGAAGGCCGGGAGCAAUGAGGAAGAGGAGCAGGGGCCCGGCUUGAUGAUAAACCUCAAGCAGUUCUCCGGGGGGGCCAUGUGGUCGGAGGACGAUAAAGAUGACGGCACCAUCAUCGACCUGACAGUGUUGUAAGACACAAAACAACCAUGGGGGGGACGGGGGACAUGUCAAGGUCCUAGACAUGCAGACUUCCUCCAAGCAGCUAUCGAGUGAAGCCAGGGGUUCAUGACCUUCUGCCCCCUCCUAUCUCCUCCUCCUACCAAAGACCUCCCCAAAAUGUGCCAAUAUCUCAUAACAUGUUCAUCCAAAAGGCAAAUACAGCAUAGAUGUUUUUGUUAAUAUAAUCAGGGAAGUAUUGGUGCAAUUAAAGGCUGGUAGGUCAACAUGAGCUUUCUGCUUGACGCAUGCAUUUUGAAAAAUAAAAAUUAUUGAGCAAUUUCCUCGUUUAGCCUCAUAGCUGAAGCACCGGGCAGCGUAGUGGCGCCCCCUUGUGGCCCGGAUGCCUCACUUUGCAGCUUGUGUUCAUAUAAGUCCAACGCACUUCAGGAAGGUUUAAUAUGACUAUUUACAAUUCGAGUUAUGUAACGGCUUUGUAAAUGCAAAUGUGAAUAAAUUACUUUGCUACGGAGUUUUUUGUGCUUCGAGUCAUUUAAAAGAGUUGUCCUGUGGAAAUACAAAGCUUAGCAUAACAUCUGCAAAUGAUCAACGUGCUACCAGGAAGUGGACUAGAGUAAUCUCUUACUAAUGUAAUCUACAUGCAUCUACUUGUGUAACAUCUUAACGCUGUUGAUGACAACAGCUAGCUUCAUAUCCUAUUUUAUCCUCA